rnacentral:lncRNA from 1 species
UAGGACUUAUAAAUUAAUCGUGACUUACGGCCCACCGUGCUGUCCACGGCGUUUUUUUUAUAAAAGGAUCUGAUGACACGUGGAAGCCUGAUCAUCCUCUUGCGCGGUGGUUUAACUAGCAGCGAAGUCCAUCCACGUGUUUUGCUAGGCCCAAUUGUACUGACCAUUUGGGCGAACAUGGGAAUGGCGACAGUCGGACAGACACAGAGGGAGGUCGGGCCGAGGCUGACUCAGUAAGCCUCAGACUGCUAAGCAGCUUGGUGCCUACCAAUUAGAAAAUUAUUUUUCAUUGAAUAUUUUGGUGCCGUUGAAAUUGGGUAAGAUAAAGCAAUGUGAUGUGAUUGCUCAUUAUUGUGGAAUGAUUUUGGGUCUCAAUCGUCCCUGAUAAUGCCACGUGUCUGUGAUUGGCUACAAAUAUGAUCAGACAGAGGACCAAUGUAGCUAAUAAUUUUCCUUUUUUUUAAUAAUUAAAGCUUAAAAAAAACUUCAUCACUACAUCAUAACUUAUACUAUCAAAUUACACUUGGAAAAAGGGUGAAUAUGAUGAAGA